GGAAAUUUAACUUUUAAAGAGUGUGCUGAUUCGUUAAAAUUUAUGACAAAUGGUAAAAGUCCAGGUUCUGAUGGGUACACAGUAGACUUUUAUAAAUUUUUUUGGAAAGAUAUUGGUCCUUUCAUCUUUCGGUCUCUUCAUUUUGGAUAUGAGGUUGGAAAAUUUUCUGAUUUUCAGUAUCAAAGUGUAAUUACAUGCAUUCCUAAGGAGGGGAAAGACAGACAGUAUAUAAGUAACUGGCGCCCUAUUGGUCUGUUGAAUACUGAUAUGAAAAUAGCUUCUGCUGUUAUAGCUAAUAGAC
rnacentral:lncRNA from 1 species